ACCUCCGGUGCCAUAAACAUAGGCGUGCCGCCAAUUGGCGUUGCUGCCUCAGCCGCAUCCUCCACCGAGUCCACUCUUUUGGCACACCCAAAAUCAGCAAUUUUGGCGCCAGUUUGUCCUAUUAAAACGUUCCUACCUUUGAUGUCACAAUGAACCCAACCGUUUGAAUGUAGAUAAUCUAGACCUUGAACAAUAUGACCUGUGUAGUAUCCGAUCACCGAUUCUUCCAGCCGGCCACCUUGAGCGUGAACUGCAUCGGUAAGUGUACCGCCGGGAAUGUACUCCAAGAAAAGAUUGUACAUAAGCUUGUUAUUCUCUCUAGUAAUGUCAAAGCCCAUGUAGCCAACUAUAUGAGGAGAGCUUAAAGAAGACAGAAUCUUUUGCUCUCUUUGCAAGAACUGGGAUUGGUCAAGCUCGGCAGACUUGACAGCAAAAACGUCACAGGAGAGGAGAGAGGUGGCGA
rnacentral:misc_RNA from 1 species